rnacentral:tRNA from 1 species
GGGCCUAUAGCUCAACGGUUAGAGCAGAGGACUCGCCAUUUGGGUCGGCGGCGUGGAAACGCGCCGCUAGUCAGGUGUAAAUUCGGUGAACGGCCUGCCCGCUCUUGGGGCGACCCAACGCCGAGCCAAGCCCGCCGUAGCGGGAAGGUGUAGAGGCCAUAAUCACCCACCUACCUCACGCACAGGCGCGACACGGUGAAGGCAUGGUCCAGACCACGCACGGGUUGCCGGCGGCGAAAGCCGAAGUGGUAAGCAUAAUCCUUUGGUUCUGGGUUCGAAUCCCAGUGGGCCCACCA